rnacentral:rRNA from 1 species
CUACGGGGGGGCUGCAGUGAGGAAUAUUGCACAAUGGGGGAACCCUGAUGCAGCAACGCCGCGUGGAGGAUGACGCAUUUCGGUGUGUAAACUCCUUUUAUAUGUCAAGAAAAUGACGGUAGCAUAUGAAUAAGCACCGGCUAACUCCGUGCCAGCAGCCGCGGUAAUACGGAGGGUGCAAGCGUUACUCGGAAUCACUGGGCGUAAAGGACGCGUAGGCGGGUUGGAAAGUCAGGUGUGAAAUCCUACAGCUUAACUGUAGAACUGCACUUGAAACUUCUAAUCUAGAGUAUGGGAGGGGGAGAUGGAAUUAGUGGUGUAGGGGUAAUAUCCGUAGAUAUCACUAGGAAUACCUAAAGCGAAGGCGAUCUCCUGGAACAUUACUGACGCUAAGGCGUGAAAGCGUGGGGAGCAAACAGGAUUAGAUACCCUUGUAGUC